rnacentral:rRNA from 1 species
AUUGAACGCUGGCGGCAUGCUUUACACAUGCAAGUCGAACGGCAGCGCGGGCUUCGGCCUGGCGGCGAGUGGCGAACGGGUGAGUAAUGCAUUGGAACGUGCCCAGUAGUGGGGGAUAGCCCGGCGAAAGCCGGAUUAAUACCGCAUACGACCUGAGGGUGAAAGCGGGGGACCGAAAGGCCUCGCGCUAUUGGAGCGGCCGAUGUCGGAUUAGCUAGUUGGUGGGGUAAAGGCUUACCAAGGCGACGAUCCGUAGCUGGUCUGAGAGGGCGACCAGCCACACUGGGACUGAGACACGGCCCAGACUCCUACGGGAGGCAGCAGUGGGGAAUUUUGGACAAUGGGGGCAACCCUGAUCCAGCCAUGCCGCGUGCGGGAAGAAGGCCUUCGGGUUGUAAACCGCUUUUGUUCGGGAAGAAAUCCUCUGGGCUAAUACCCCGGGGGGAUGACGGUACCGGAAGAAUAAGCACCGGCUAACUACGUG